CCCAUUCCUUCAUCAUCAAAUAUCAAAUUCCACAAUUGAAACAUAACCGGGUUAUGAUAAGACCCUAUCAUACCAUCAAUACCAGAGGAAGCAAAUAAUUAACAAUAGUGGAGAUGAAGUCAAUCAAAGGGGUUCAGCCAUAAGCAGUGAAACUCGGUCAUCGCAGAUAACAAACACUCACUGAUAUAAACAAUUAAGCAGGGGAUUCAAAAUGAAUCAAUAACACAAGCAAUCAGAUUAGGUCUAACCUAAACGAUUGAACAGCAAAACACCCACCAGGAAUAGAAGCAUAUACC
rnacentral:lncRNA from 1 species